CAUCAUUAUCCUUAUUAUGUACGCUCAUCUCAAAUUUCAGUGGGUUCCCAGGUUGCUGUCUCAUCAGUUUAUAAAAGGAAAAAAAUGAAGCAGACAGGUGUUCUGGCACUGAGUUUGAUUUCAUCCUGAUAGCCAGGGCGGCCGUGGAGGAGGGCCAAACAUAUGUUCCGAGGGCCAGGAACAAAAGCACUGACACGUUAGCCUUUUCACGGAGAUGACCUUUCCGCCGCUCUCUAUCCCAGCCUCUUUGCCUGCCGCUGUCCUUUUGUCUGCCAGCCAGCCCCAGGCCCAACUCGAGCGGAGCGCUAGAAUUUCUCCUCAUCUCCCCAAAUCUCCCUUGACUAAAUGUCAGCAUUACAUAUUUCUUUGCUUGCAGUGAGGGCUUUAAUUAGCACUACUGUUCUCAUACACGUGUUA